rnacentral:rRNA from 1 species
AGUGGCGGACGGGUGAGUAACGCGUGAGAAUCUGCCUUGGGGUCGGGGACAACCACUGGAAACGGUGGCUAAUACCGGAUAAGCCGAUUGGUGAAAGAUUUAUUGCCCGAAGAGGAGCUCGCGUCUGAUUAGCUAGUUGGUGAGGUAAGAGCUCACCAAGGCAGCGAUCAGUAGCUGGUCUGAGAGGACGAUCAGCCACACUGGGACUGAGACACGGCCCAGACUCCUACGGGAGGCAGCAGUGGGGAAUUUUCCGCAAUGGGCGAAAGCCUGACGGAGCAAGACCGCGUGAGGGAGGAAGGCUCUUGGGUUGUAAACCUCUUUUCUCAGGGAAGAAGCUCCGACGGUACCUGAGGAAUCAGCCUCGGCUAACUCCGUGCCAGCAGCCGCGGUAAUACGGAGGAGGCAAGCGUUAUCCGGAAUUAUUGGGCGUAAAGCGUCCGCAGGUGGCGAUUCAAGUCUGCUGUCAAAGCACGGGGCUUAACUCCGUAAAGGCAGUGGAAACUGAAUAGCUAGAGUGCCGUAGGGGUAGAGGGAAUUCCCGGUGUAGCGGUGAAAUGCGUAGAGAUCGGGAAGAACAUCGGUGGCGAAAGCGCUCUACUGGACGGCAACUGACACUCAGAGACGAAAGCUAGGGGAGCCAAUGGGAUUAGAUACCCC